rnacentral:SRP_RNA from 1 species
GCUGGGCAUGGUGGCACACGCCUAUAAUCCCAGCAGCUCGGGAGGCUGAGACAGGAGGAUCAUGAGUUCAAAGCCACCUCAGCAAAAAAUAAGUGAGGUACCAAGCAGCUCAGUGAGACCCUGUCUCUU